rnacentral:rRNA from 1 species
GUCUACGGCCAUGCCACCCUGAAUAGCCUGAUCCUGUCUGAUCUCAGAAGCUAAGCAGGAUCAGGCCUGGUUAGUACUUGGAUGGGAGACCACCUAGGAAUACCAGGUGCUGUAGGUG